rnacentral:antisense_RNA from 1 species
CUCUAUGGUGGCUGUGCGCAGGGCACCCUCGGGUGCGCCGGUUUUUCGUGAUUCCUCCCGGUCUGCUAACCUGCGUACAGCCGCCACCCUU